rnacentral:rRNA from 1 species
CAGCACCUCAAGUGGUCAGGAUGAUUAUUGGGCCUAAAGCAUCCGUAGCCUGCUUUGUAAGUUUUCGGUUAAAUCCAUACGCUCAACGUAUGGGCUGCCGGGAAUACUGCAGCGCUAGGGAGUGGGAGAGGUAGACGGUACUCGGUAGGAAGGGGUAAAAUCCUUUGAUCUAUUGAUGACCACCUGUGGCGAAGGCGGUCUACCAGAACACGUCCGACGGUGAGGGAUGAAAGCUGGGGGAGCAAACCGGAUUAGAUACCCGAGUAGUCC